UACGGGGGGGGCAAGCGUUUGUUCGGAAUUACUGGGCGUAAAGGGCUCGUAGGCGGCCAACUAAGUCAUACGUGAAAUCCCUCGGCUUAACCUGGGAACUGCGUCGGAUACUGGAUGGCUUGAAUUCGGGAGAGGGAUGCAGAAUUCCAGGUGUAGCGGUGAAAUGCGUAGAUAUCUGGAGGAAUACCGGUGGCGAAGGCGGCAUCCUGGACCGAGAUUGACGCUGAUGAGCGAAAGCUAGGGGAGCAAACGGG
rnacentral:rRNA from 1 species